CUAAGAUUUAAAAUUUUUUCGAUCUUAAAUAAUUUAAUUUCGGGGUUAAAUUAAAUUAUUUCUCUUAAGGGACAUCUUGGACUAAUUGACUUUUGGAGCGUGGGAUUUCUCCAGUUAAUGGCUUAUUUGUGGCAACCUCGACCUAGAGACUUUGCUGCUUGGAAAGCGUGAUUUUGCUGUUAGCACUCGUUUGAGCAAAUCUCCAGGCAGAGGCAGAGGUAAGGGCAAAGGCAAGCUGGCGAGCGACCAGAAGUGACCAUGGCAGGCCAUAGGGAUCUUUUGCUUCCGCUUUAUGUCAUAGUUCAGAUUUUAAUGUUUGCAUUUUAUUUUAUACUUUAUUUGUCAUUUUAUUUCUUUAAAAUUAGAUAGGGCCCGAGUUAGGAUUUUGUUUUUAUGCUUAUCUCUAAUCACAUUUGUUUAUGCUUUUAAAUGAAAAUUUUGAGAUUUUGUUUUA